GAUUGCCUCAGUAACGGCGAGUGAAGCGGCAAAAGCUCAAAUUUUAAAGCUGGCACCUUCGGUGUCCGCGUUGUAAUUUUGUGAGGCAUCUCCGGGUAGGGCGCCGGCCUAAGUUCCUUGGAACAGGACGUCAUAGAGGGUGAGAAUCCCGUGCUUGGCUGGCUGUCCCCGUCCAUGUGAGGUGUCUUCGACGAGUCGAGUUGUUUGGGAAUGCAGCUCAAAAUGGGUGGUAAAUUUCAUCUAAAGCUAAAUAUUGGUGGGAGACCGAUAGCGCACAAGUAGAGUGAUCGAAAGAUGAAAAGCACUUUGAAAAUAGAGUUAAAAAGUACGUGAAAUUGUUGAAAGGGAAGCGCUUGAGACCAGACUUCGGUGGGGGGUGAUCAGCUGUCCUUCUGGGCGGUGCACUUGCUCCCCUCCGGGCCAGCAUCGGUUGGGGCGGCGGGAUAAAGAUCCCGGGAAUGUGGCUCCUUUCGGGGAGUGUUAUAGCCCGGGUGAAUGCCGCCAGCUCCGACCGAGGACCGCGCCUUCGGGCUAGGAUG
rnacentral:rRNA from 1 species